UACGUAGGGUCCGAGCGUUGUCCGGAAUUAUUGGGCGUAAAGGGCUCGUAGGCGGUCUGUUGCGUCGGGAGUGAAAACUUACAGCUUAACUGUGAGCGUGCUUCCGAUACGGGCAGACUUGAGGUAUUCAGGGGAGAACGGAAUUCCUGGUGUAGCGGUGAAAUGCGCAGAUAUCAGGAGGAACACCGGUGGCGAAGGCGGUUCUCUGGGAAUAUCCUGACGCUGAGGCACGAAAGCCAGGGGAGCAAACGGG
rnacentral:rRNA from 1 species